rnacentral:sRNA from 1 species
UUUUUUUCUUCUUCUUCUUCCUUCUGCAUCUGAAAGUUUGUAUUUUUCCUGGGUUUUUACCUUUCUU